AUUGAACGCUGGCGGCAUGCUUUACACAUGCCAGUCGAACGGCAGCGCGGGCUUCGGCCUGGCGGCGAGUGGCGAACGGGUGAGUAAUGCAUCGGAACGUGCCCAGUAGUGGGGGAUAGCCCGGCGAAAGCCGGAUUAAUACCGCAUACGACCUGAGGGUGAAAGCGGGGGACCGAAAGGCCUCGCGCUAUUGGAGCGGCCGAUGUCGGAUUAGCUAGUUGGUGGGGUAAAGGCUUACCAAGGCGACGAUCCGUAGCUGGUCUGAGAGGACGACCAGCCACACUGGGACUGAGACACGGCCCAGACUCCUACGGGAGGCAACAGUGGGGAAUUUUGGACAAUGGGGGCAACCCUGAUCCAGCCAUGCCGCGUGCGGGAAGAAGGCCUUCGGGUUGUAAACCGCUUUUGUUCGGGAAGAAAUCCUCUGGGCUAAUACCCCGGGGGGAUGACGGUACCGGAAGAAUAAGCACCGGCUAACUACGUG
rnacentral:rRNA from 1 species